rnacentral:rRNA from 1 species
UACAUGGGGUGCAAACGUUGCUCGGAAUCAUUGGGCGUAAAGCGCGCGUAGGCGGUUACUUAAGUUGGAUGUGAAAGCCCUCGGCUUAACUGAGGAAGUGCAUCCAAAACUGAGUAGCUAGAGUACGAAAGAGGGUCGCGGAAUUCCCGGUGUAGAGGUGAAAUUCGUAGAUAUCGGGAGGAACACCAGUGGCGAAGGCGAUCACCUGGGGAUGUUCUGACGCUGAGGAGCGAAAGCUAGGGGAGCAAACGGG